rnacentral:SRP_RNA from 1 species
AUUCGCAAGGGUCCCACUAACGCCGCAAAGGCCAGAAGGGAGAAGCAGGAGGCAACGGUUGCCGCCAUGCCACGCAGGAGCAAGAGGAGUGC